UUACAGGCACAUUAGAACCAACAAUUAAAGGAAUCAAAAUUGGAAAAUUUAUUCAUCUAUCUUUUGAAACAUUUCUUCAUGAAAUCCAUAGAAUAAAAACUGUUGUGAUCUAUUUUAUAUUGAACAAUAUACCAAUGAGAUAACUGAACCAGAAACCGCGUUUACCGAUUUAACAUUAUCUUAUAGUAUCAGAGAAAUGGCAGGAGUUUUGGCGUAGCAAUUUAGUACCAAACCGGAAGAAUAUGAAUAGAUCGGAUAUAAUAUUAUAUACGCCAACUGGUGACGACUGAUAUUGAAGUUAAAAUACAAAUCGACUUCUGUACAAGUACAAUUGUAAUAACUCCGCAUAAAGUUUAUUCUAAUAAAAUGUCACAUAUUCCCAUUUGCAAGUAUGCGUAAUAGUAUUAUGAUGGAUGAAGUAAGUCGAGAAACUGAAAUGUUGUACUUACAACAACCGCCCACAAAAAAAUACUAAAACGCAUACCUACUACAAUAGAUUUUUUACGGUUUUCAUGUCUCGAUAAUUCCACCAGUUUCCAUUCAGAUGCCCAUAAUAAUAUAUCUAACGUUGACCGGAUGUUUGGACAUUGUAUAUUAUUGAAAAGAAAACUGAAAACUGAUAUCAUUAGGUAGAGUUAUACUAUGAAGAGUUUGUGGUGGAAGUGAUAAAAAUAAACCACGAUAUCAAUAAAAACUGUCAUUUGAAAAAGAAAAAAAUAUUUAUCUUUAUGACUACAGACAUUGUUUACGAGUUCAAAUCACGCGUAACUUCUAUGUUCUAUAAAGAACGUUUAUGAGUUCUACAUGAUCGAUUAGAUUCGAUAGAUUACCAGUGAC